GUGUCAGCAGCCGCGGUAAUACAGAGGGUGCAAGCGUUAAUCGGAAUGACUGGGCGUAAAGGGCGCGUAGGCGGUUAGAUAAGUUAGAUGUGAAAUCCCUGGGCUUAACCUAGGAACUGCAUUUGAUACUGUCUGACUAGAGUAGGGUAGAGGGAAGUGGAAUUUCCGGUGUAGCGGUGAAAUGCGUAGAUAUCGGAAGGAACACCAGUGGCGAAGGCGGCUUUCUGGACCUAUACUGACGCUGAGGCGCGAAAGCGUGGGGAGCAAACAGGAUUAGAUACCCCAGUAGUCC
rnacentral:rRNA from 1 species